rnacentral:rRNA from 1 species
UACGAAGGGGGCUAGCGUUGUUCGGAAUUACUGGGCGUAAAGCGCGCGCAGGCGGUUCUUCAAGUCAGUGGUGAAAGCCCGGAGCUCAACUCCGGAACUGCCAUUGAAACUGUGGAACUUGAGGAUGAGAGAGGUGAGUGGAAUUCCCAGUGUAGAGGUGAAAUUCGUAGAUAUUGGGAAGAACACCGGUGGCGAAGGCGGCUCACUGGCUCUCUUCGACGCUGCGGCGCGA